rnacentral:tRNA from 1 species
GGGGAACCUGCGGCUGGAUCACCUCCUUUCUAAGGUAUGGUCCGAAAGCGCCAGUCACCUCGACCCUCGGGUCCGCGUGGCAGGAAGAGCUUCGUACUUUCCAAAGAACAUUAAGCCGCCGUCCUCAUGUCCCUUCAUCACUAGGUUAGUCCACGAGACGAAACAGCCCUGGCUGUUUUGCACGUGGACAAGCUCGGCCAGCGCUGCGAAGCGCGCCCUCGGGCGCAGCUUUGCUGCGACUGACGGCGUGAAGCCAGGUGCGGGCCGGUAGCUCAGGUGGUUAGAGCGCACGCCUGAUAAGCGUGAGGUCGUAGGUUCAACUCCUACUCGGCCCACCAUUUAGUGCGGAUGGUUCUAAGCCAGCGCCAUGGGCAAAGCCCAUGUCGUCGGUCGUAGCUUCGCUACGCCGGCCGUGCUUGCAAGCGUGUACGAUAGCGACGCUAUCGUAUCCCGUUGCUGGCGCAUUGGGGCCUUAGCUCAGCUGGGAGAGCGGUUGCUUUGCAAGCAUCAGGUCAUCGGUUCGAUCCCGAUAGGCUCCACCACGCCUUCAGCGACGCCGCAAGGCGAGCAUAUACCUAGAGAUGAAGAGAACACGUAUCCCCGUGGUUGACACGGGGUGGGACGGCGCUAUUGGCGCCCUUCCGAUUUUUGACAUUGUGAAUGGUUUUUUCAAAUCGAUGCCGUGAGGCGUUGGUUGGAACGGAAAGCGCGGACCGCGAGGUUCGUCGGCGGACCGGCACGAACGAACGUUCAUCACAAUCAAGGCUGAGCGAUUUUCAACCACACCGAUACAAGCCACGAUACACUGCUCUGCCGAGUUUCGUGUCGGUCUUCGGACCGAUCCAGUGUUGUCGUUGGUGGUGUGGACUCUCAAGCGUGAGGUAAGGGCAAUUCGUGGAUGCCUUGGCAUGUACAGGCGAUGAAGGACGUGGCACGCUGCGAUAAGCGUCGGUAAG